rnacentral:rRNA from 1 species
CAUUUGCUAUUCGCCCGGGUACUACGAGCACUAGCUUAAAACCCAAAGGACUUGGCGGUGCUUAAGACCCCCCUAGAGGAGCCUGUUCUAGAACCGAUAACCCCCGUUGAACCUCACCCUCCCUUGUUUAUCCCGUCUAUAUACCGCCGUCGUCAGCUUACCCUGUGAAGGAACCACAGUAAGCAAGAUUAGCAAACCUCAAAACGUCAGGUCGAGGUGUAGCGAAUGGGAGGGGAAGAAAUGGGCUACAUUCCUUAAAACGAAUAGUGUAAUGAAACGUACAUUGGAAGGAGGAUUUAGCAGUAAGCAGAAAAUAGAGAG